GACGAACGCUGGCGGCGUGCUUAACACAUGCAAGUCGAACGGAAAGGCCCUGCUUUUGUGGGGUGCUCGAGUGGCGAACGGGUGAGUAACACGUGAGUAACCUGCCCCUGACUUUGGGAUCACUUCAGGAAACUGGGGCUAAUACCGGAUAGGAGCUCCUGCUGCAUGGUGGGGGUUGGAAAGUUUCGGCGGUUGGGGAUGGACUCGCGGCUUAUCAGCUUGUUGGUGGGGUAGUGGCUUACCAAGGCUUUGACGGGUAGCCGGCCUGAGAGGGUGACCGGCCACAUUGGGACUGAGAUACGGCCCAGACUCCUACGGGAGGCAGCAGUGGGGAAUAUUGCACAAUGGGCGGAAGCCUGAUGCAGCAACGCCGCGUGCGGGAUGACGGCCUUCGGGUUGUAAACCGCUUUCGCCUGUGACGAAGCGUGAGUGACGGUAAUGGGUAAAGAAGCACCGGCUAACUACGUG
rnacentral:rRNA from 1 species